GACAGAGGUGGCAAGCGUUGUUCGGAAUUACUGGGCGUAAAGGGCGCGUAGGCGGCCUACUAAGUCAGACGUGAAAUCCCCCGGCUUAACCUGGGAACUGCGUCUGAUACUGGAAGGCUUGAGGAUGGGAGAGGGAUGUAGAAUUCCAGGUGUAGAGGUGAAAUUCGUAGAUAUUCGCAAGAACACCAGUGGCGAAGGCGGCUCACUGGCCCGGUACUGACGCUGAGGUGCGAAAGCGUGGGGAGCAAACAGG
rnacentral:rRNA from 1 species